rnacentral:lncRNA from 1 species
AUUUCAUUGUAUAACUUUCAUAAAAAAAAAGAUAAACUUCAAAUACCACCCAUAUAGUUUCAUACUUUCUUACUUUACUAUCCUAUAGUUUAAAGUGUAUCAAGUUAGUACCCUGUAGUUUCAUUUUUAUCUUUUCGUUAGUUUCUUCGUUAAUAUUUUGUUAAAUUAUAUACGAAAAACUUUAGAUACCCCAUCUAGCUUUAUCGAAUAUUCACUUUAGUAUCCUUCAGUUUUAACUUUGUCGCUGAUUUAACGAUAAAAAAAUAGUGAAAUUGAUAAUAAGAAGCGAAAAAUAAAACCAUAGGGUACCAAAUUGAUGCACUUUAAAUUAUAGGGUAGUAAAAUGAGAGAGUGCGAAAUCACGGGGUAGUAUUUGAAGUUUUUUCUUAAAUUAAAAACAUUUCUAAAGCUAGGUUUGUUAUGUUGAACACUUCUUUUUGAUUGAAAGGGAUGGAUGGAAUAAAACAAAAACCAUUGAAAAGCUUUUUUCCAAUCAUUUCAACUGCAGGGAAAGAUAAGUGUAAACUUUUAGUGGUCUAAGAAACAACAGAAAAGAGAAAAAAGACAAAAAAAAAAAAAGUAAAAGAAAAAAAGGAAAAGUGAAAGAGAAGAAUGUGAAAACUGAAAAAGAAAAGGUAAAUAGGAAAAAAUGAAAAAUGAAAACGACUUGCAUGCAACUUUCACAAUUAUAAAAUUUUAUUUUCUUUUUCUACUAUUUACUAAUUUUUUAAUAGAGAUACUCAAUUAUUUUUUUUGUCGAUCUCUAUAUGGUUGUUAAAAAAAAAAAAGUAAAAGAAAAAAAGGAAAAGUGAAAGAGAAGAAUGUGAAAACUGAAAAAGAAAAGGUAAAUAGGGAAAAAUGAAAAAUGAAAACGACUUGCAU